rnacentral:rRNA from 1 species
GUAGGUGACCUGCGGAGGUCAUUACCGAGUUCAUGCCCUUCGGGGUAGAUCUCCCACCCUUUGUAUACUAUACCUUUGUUGCUUUGGCGGGCCGCCUAGCUACUGGCUUCGGCUGGUAAGUGCCCGCCAGAGAACCCAAAACCCUGAAUUAUUAGUGUCGUCUGAGUAAAAUAUUUAAUAUUUAAAACUUUCAACAACGGAUCUCUUGGCUCUGGCAUCGAUGAAGAACGCAGCGAAAUGCGAUAAGUAAUGUGAAUUGCAGAAUUCAGUGAAUCAUCGAAUCUUUGAACGCACAUUGCGCCCCUUGGUAUUCCGAGGGGCAUGCCUAUUCGAGCGUCAUUAUCACCCCUCAAGCCUAGCUUGGUGUUGAGACCUGCUGUCAAGGCAGUCUCUAAAAUCAGUGGCAGUGCUGUCAGGCUCUAAGCGUAGUAAAUUCAUCGCUAUAGACACCUGGUGGCCACUCGCCAGAACCCCCCCCAUUUUUUAAUGAUUGACCUCGGAUUAGGUAGGGAUACCCGCUGAACUUAAGCAUAUCAAUAAGCGGAGGAAAAGAAACCAACAGGGAUUGCCUCAGUAACGGCGAGUGAAGCGGCAAAAGCUCAAAUUUGAAAUCUGGCUCUUUUAGGGUCCGAGUUGUAAUUUGUAGAAGAUGUUUCGGGUGUGGCUCCGGUUUAAGUUCUUUGGAAUAUUACAUCAUAGAGGGUGAGAAUCCCGUAUGUGACCGGCAGCCUUCGCCUAUGUGAAGCUCUUUCGACGAGUCGAGUUGUUUGGGAAUGCAGCUCAAAAUGGGAGGUAUAUUUCUUCUAAAGCUAAAUAUUGGCCAGAGACCGAUAGCGCACAAGUAGAGUGAUCGAAAGAUGAAAAGCACUUUGGAAAGAGAGUUAAACAGUACGUGAAAUUGUUGAAAGGGAAGCGCUUGCAACCAGACUUGCACGCAGUUGAUCAUCCGGUGUUCUCACCGGGGCACUCUGCUGCGUUCAGGCCAGCAUCGGUUUUGGUGGUUGGAUAAAGGCCUUGGGAAUGUGGCUUCCUUCGGGGAGUGUUAUAGCCCUCGGUGCAAUGCAGCCUACCGGGACCGAGGACCGCGC